UUAAUCUUCGGUAUAGCCAUUUGUUAACACAUAUCAUCGCUUUUAUGUUGAUUGCAUCCAGAUAUCUAAGAAGACUCUGAUAAGGGGGCAGAACUAAAAUUCCAGAAAUGCUAUCUCCUAUGCUUUGCUGGAUAAGGACAAACAAUCUGCAUUCCUAUCAUCGUUUGACAAGUCUGGAUACAGGUCAUCUGAUAAGCUGCUCAUCGCCUACAAGGAACCCAUUAUUAUUAUGUUAUUAUUAUUUAGAACUGAAGGAAGAUUUGGAUGCAAUGUUUCCCAUGUGAAUACAUACAGUGGAAUUGCAUAAAAAUCAAUGGAUAAGUUUGCUGCAUUGAUAUCAUCUUUCAGAUACCCCGGCCCCCGUGCCACUGGCCUUCGUGCUCCUUUAAAGGAUGUGAAAAACACACUUUCUGUGAGGUAUGCAGCUCUAGAACCUUUUCUCAGACUUGAAACUUCUAAGGAAAUUAAGUAUGAUUGGUUUACUUACUAGCGACAGUACAGUCUUGUUAUGAUUAUGUAUCUAUUUUUUAUGCCAUUCUUAUUUCUGCUGCAAAUCUAUUGUUAAAGCUCCAGAAAAAGGCACAUUCAGACGCACAGCAAAGAAAACAGGUCUAGGCCCAGAACUUGAAUUUUGAUUGAUGUCUUUUUUGAAAUCUAAUGAUUCCAUUGAGAGUUCAUUUUCCUCUCCAAGAUUCAACCUUAUAGCAUUGCUGUCGUCUGGUGAUAGAUAUGCAUUACCGAGCUUCAACGAACUGAACUCGAGCUUUGCUGUUUCAUCUAUGAUCGUUAUUUCUAUAACCGAGUCCGCCAUUCAGUUAUGCAGAGAGCGGCAGCUUUAAAUGCAUUUUACAAUGGGUACAUAUGCAUUGCAAAUUCUGACCUCGCAUGAUGUUGGUGCAUGUUCAAUCAGAUCCUGCUGGACGUCUGGUUAUCACAGGGGAUCCAGAGCAGCCUAAUAAUCCUUGGGGGAUCACUCCGUUCAAGAAGGUGGUCAACUUGCCAUCAAGAAUCAAUCCUCACCAAACAUCCGCUGUUGUCACGCUUCAUGGUCAGCUGUUUGUGCGUGCACCAUUUGGGUCAUCCUGAUAUGUAGAUAUGAAAUCAUUUUUAGUUCAGUUUUGUUGACUGUGGCGCCUCUUCACCGGUGAUAUUCCUUGAUAUCACUA